GAUGAACGCUGGCGGCGUGCCUAAUACAUGCAAGUCGAGCGAACGGACGAGAAGCUUGCUUUUCUGAUGUUAGCGGCGGACGGGUGAGUAACACGUGGAUAACCUACCUAUAAGACUGGGAUAACUUCGGGAAACCGGAGCUCAUACCGGAUAAUAUUUUGAACCGCAUGGUUCAAAAGUGAAAGACGGUCUUGAUGUCACUUAUAGAUGGAUCCGCGCUGCAUUAGCUAGUUGGUAAGGUAACGGCUUACCAAGGCAACGAUGCAUAGCCGACCUGAGAGGGUGAUCUGCCACACUGGAACUGAGACACGGUCCAGACUCCUACGGGAGGCAGCAGUAGGGAAUCUUCCGCAAUGGGCGAAAGCCUGACGGAGCAACGCCGCGUGAGUGAUGAAGGUCUUCGGAUCGUAAAACUCUGUUAUUAGGGAAGAACGUAUGUGUAAGUAACUGUGCACAUCUUGACGGUACCUAAUCAGAAAGCCACGGCUAACUACGUG
rnacentral:rRNA from 1 species